UGGGGAAUUUUGCACAAUGGAGGGAACUCUGAUGCAGCGACGCCGCGUGAACGAAGAAGGCUUUCGAGUCGUAAAGUUCUUUUAUAUGGGAAGAUAAUGACGGUACCAUAAGAAAAAGCCCCGGCUAACUACGUGCCAGCAGCCGCGGUAAUACGUAGGGGGCUAGCGUUGUCCGGAAUCACUGGGCGUAAAGGGUUCGCAGGCGGAAAUGCAAGUCAGGUGUAAAAGGCAGUAGCUUAACUACUGUAAGCAUUUGAAACUGCAUAUCUUGAGAAAAGUAGAGGUAAGUGGAAUUUUUAGUGUAGCGGUGAAAUGCGUAGAUAUUAAAAAGAAUACCGGUGGCGAAGGCGACUUACUGGGCUCAUUCUGACGCUGAGGAACGAAAGCGUGGGUAGCAAACAGG
rnacentral:rRNA from 1 species